rnacentral:ncRNA from 1 species
ACGAGCCACAUGCAGGGAAACUUGCACGUGUGGUUCUGGCCGGGGACUCCGGUAU